rnacentral:tRNA from 1 species
CGCGUCGAUAGAAUAUAAAGUUCAUGGCUCUGAAGAAGCUAGAGAGGUUCAGAGGCCUCGAUGUGG